rnacentral:rRNA from 1 species
ACCAGACUCCUACGGGAGGCAGCAGUGGGGAAUAUUGCACAAUGGGGGGAACCCUGAUGCAGCGACGCCGCGUGGGUGAAGAAGCGCCUCGGCGCGUAAAGCCCUGUCAGCAGGGAAGAAAAUGACGGUACCUGAAGAAGAAGCCCCGGCUAACUACGUGCCAGCAGCCGCGGUAAUACGUAGGGGGCAAGCGUUAUCCGGAUUUACUGGGUGUAAAGGGGGCGCAGACGGCGAUGCAAGCCAGGAGUGAAAGCCCGGGGCCCAACCCCGGGACUGCUCUUGGAACUGCGCGGCUGGAGUGCAGGAGGGGCAGGCGGAAUUCCUGGUGUAGCGGUGAAAUGCGUAGAUAUCAGGAGGAACACCGGUGGCGAAGGCGGCCUGCUGGACUGCGACUGACGUUGAGGCCCGAAAGCGUGGGGAGCAAACAGGAUUAGAUACCCCAGUAC